UACGUAGGGUGCAAGCGUUAAUCGGAAUUACUGGGCGUAAAGCGUGCGCAGGCGGUUGUGUAAGUCAGAUGUGAAAUCCCCGGGCUCAACCUGGGAAUUGCAUUUGUGACUGCACGGCUAGAGUGUGUCAGAGGGGGGUAGAAUUCCACGUGUAGCAGUGAAAUGCGUAGAGAUGUGGAGGAAUACCGAUGGCGAAGGCAGCCCCCUGGGAUAACACUGACGCUCAUGCACGAAAGCGUGGGGAGCAAACAGG
rnacentral:rRNA from 1 species